GGGCGCAUGGUCUAGAGGUAUGAUAUUCGCUUUGCAUCUGAAUCCAGAAAAUGCUUGCGAAGGGUCCGGGGUUCAAUUCCCCGUGCGUCCA
rnacentral:tRNA from 1 species